AGCCAAGUAAUCUAAGAAAGGCAGAAUGACAGCUAGCCUGGGAAAUGGAAUAACAUCACUUCUGUCACAUUCCAUUGGCCAAACAUAUCAAACUUGAUACAGCAUGAGAGGGGACUAUACAAGAAUGUGGAUACCAGGAAAUGAGGAUCAGUGGGGACCAGCUUGGAGGCUGACAACAACAGGCUUUCAUUUGGUCUCUUUUCGAAUCAGAAGACCCAGAAAACUUGGAUCCACUUCUGGCUCUCAUCCCUCUGGGCAGUGUGAUUUGGAUUGAGCAGAUGCUCCGGCUGCCACUCCAUCAUAUAUUGGAAACAGCAUUACUUUAUAGUAAAUCAUGACCACGGUGUAUGGCAAUGAAGUUGCAUCUGAAGCAGCCGGCACCCUAUGUGCUAGCUGGCUUUUAGACCAGGAGACUGUGAAUCUGUGGUCAGGAUCUCUUUAGGGCUGCUAAAUAUAUACUACCCACUAUCACUCGCUGGAGCUGCAGACCCUAGUUUUAGAGUUUCACUUCUUAAAGACCUUCAUCCUUAUUAAAAUGGUAAUAUCCUUACUGUCAUCAAUCACUGACACAUUG
rnacentral:lncRNA from 10 species